rnacentral:snRNA from 1 species
AUGCACCACUUCCAAUUGAAAAA